AUUGCAACCUCGUACCCAGGGCUUCUGCGCUUAUUGAGAGCAAUAAGCGCAGAAGCCCUGGGUACGAGGUUGCUGUUAU